rnacentral:lncRNA from 1 species
UAUCUAAGAUAUAGAGCAUGUGUGAACUCAAGUACUUUAGAAAAUGUACACGUUCUAGGUCAGUCUUUUUAACUUUUUUUUUACCCUAUAUUGAUUAUGCUUGUUUAAUGUAACAUUUUUUGAAAACCUCUGAAUUGUUUUACUGAAGGACAAAACACAAACUUCAUUCAACAGAUGAAAAGUUAUUUGAAAACUAUAAUUCACAAUGCAUCUACUUCCUUCCUUCCUUCCUUCCUUCCUUCCUUCCUUCCUUCCUUCCUUCCUUCCUUCCUUCCUUCCUUUCUUUCUUUCUUUCUUUCUUUCUUUCUAUCUUCCUUCCUUCCUUCCUUCCUUCCCUUCCUUCCUUCCUUCCUUCCUUCCUUCCUUCCUUCCUUCCUUUCUUUCUUUCUUUCUUUCUUUCUUUCUUUCUUUCUUUCUUUCUUAGAUCUUUGCUAUUUCAUAGACUCCAUCUAGAGGAAAUGCCCAUUGUUGUAUUCUGCAAAUCUAGAAGUGUAUAACUAUUAUCAGUGAAACAAUGUUAGUCCCCAAGUAUUUCUGCAACAUGUAUUAUGCACUCUGAGAACAACUAAAGAUCUUCUUCCUUUAGAUAAAGUGGUAUUACUCUGCCUUGAGAUGAUGAACGAAAGCCAGUGUUCUUCAUCUCAAGGAAGAUUUUUAGAAGGAUGCUAUCUUGUUGCUGCUGUUGUUACAUUACUCUGGUCUCUAGAAUCCUGUUGGAGCCCUACGAUGAUUCCCAGUUUGGCAAAGUCUGACCAAAGGGAGAAGAAAAAUGUGGCUUCUAGGUUAAGAUCCCUCUUUUGCUCUCCAACUACUCAGUGUUACAGUUUAUCAUCUCAUCACACCACCCUCAAGAGCAGUAGAAAUCUGCACUGAAAAAUAGUUAUGUUGAAAUAAUGAAAUCAACUCCAAUUCACAUUACUUAUACAGAUCAAAGCUAUAACUGGGAGGAGAGGAAAAUUAUUUUUUUUAAGCUCUUGAGAUCUUGGCUUUUAAUUUUCAACUCUGCAAAGCUUUUACUUAAAAUAGUCAUCUUCAUUAUUGCAUAGCUAUUUUUGCAUAUAAGUACAAUAUAAAAGAUUAAAUGUUUUUUG